rnacentral:rRNA from 1 species
UACAGGGGGUGCAAACGUUGCUCGGAAUCAUUGGGCGUAAAAGCGCACGUAGGCGGUUCGUUAUGUCGGAUGUGAAAGCCCUUGGCUUAACCGAGGAAGUGCAUCCGAAACUGGCGAGCUAGAGUACUAAAGAGGAUCGCGGAAUUCCCGGUGUAGAGGUGAAAUUCGUAGAUAUCGGGAGGAACACCGGUGGCGAAGGCGGCGAUCUGGGUAGAUACUGACGCUGAGGUGCGAAAGCGUGGGGAGCAAACAGGG